rnacentral:rRNA from 1 species
UACGUAGGGUGCAAGCGUUGUCCGGAAUUACUGGGCGUAAAGAGCUCGUAGGCGGUUUGUCGCGUCGUCUGUGAAAUCCCGCAGCUCAACUGCGGGCUUGCAGGCGAUACGGGCAGACUUGAGUACUGCAGGGGAGACUGGAAUUCCUGGUGUAGCGGUGAAAUGCGCAGAUAUCAGGAGGAACACCAAUGGCGAAGGCAGCUCGCUGGGACGGUACUGACGCUGAGACGCGAAAGCGUGGGGAGCAAACAGG